rnacentral:rRNA from 1 species
UCCUUCGCCGGUGGGUUGGGGGUUGGCGUCGGGUCGGGGUCGGGCAAGGGGAGGGGUGGGUACGGCGACGGCGGCCUCGGUGGGUGACGGGGCGGAGGGAGUGUGUCUGGAGCGGCGGCCGAUACCGGAAGUGGUUGUCGGCGGCGAGGCUGGGAGAGGGGGAGGGCAGGGGAAUAGUGUUCUGUUCUCUUCUCUUCUCCCUCCCUUUAGCUAGCGCUGGCUCGUCCAGUUCGCCGCUGUUACCGCGCGGAUCUGGGCGGUCACGGCAGUAGCAGCUCGACCCGACCCGCCGUGUCAAGCCAUCUCAUCCUUACUCCCCCGCCACCCUGCGGAGGGGACGAGCUCGACGAGGUUCGCUCGCUGGUGUCGCGGCCUAGGUGGAGGUGUUGGUGGGUGGCCGCCGGUGCCUUCCAAUCCCUGGAAGCAGGCCAGGUACACGAAGAAGAGGUACCUCGAGGCUGUGGCGUCGUCGACGUAGGUACCUUCACGGCUGCGGUACCUGGAGCAGUUAGUACCAAACGACGAUGGCGGCUGGCAAAGGGACUGUUCAACUGUGGUUUCGGUGGUAACAGUUUCAGCGGCAACCGGCCGCAACGGUGACCAGCGACGAGGUGCGUAGAACAGCCACGACGCUCCGCUACGGUAGACGUAGACAACGACGUCGGACCCUCCACCGUCCCAGAGGUCCACUACGGGAGAAACGACGGGUUAGCAACUUCUACGGUAUCCUGCUCUAGGAGACGACGACGACACAGAGCACCAACUUCUUCCCCACACGACCCUUCUCCUCCGUCACAACUCUCACGAGCUAUACCUUGUCCUGCUCGAACCCGACGUAGCCGAGACCAAGAGUUGGAGGUUGUACUCAGGGAAAAAAAGCACGGAGCUUGCGGUGCUCAGUAGUACCCGUGACGUCUACGCCUCCUCAAAAAGGCCCCGCUAAACGAACAAGGGUCGGCGCGACCACAGUUGAUGGAGCUCGGUGAUACUGGUAGGGUUGGUGCGAGUGGGGGGACUUACUUGAUAAACACCUAGACGUUUCCCCCUAAGUUAAUUAAAAGUCAACAUCUUUUCCCUCUUCCCCCUAAGUUAAUUAAAAGGAGGAGUUCUAGUUUCUUUGUUUUAGAAACACCGCUACUAUCUUCCCCAAGUGCUGAAGUGCAAUUAUGUGUCUGAUAACCAUUCCCGUAAUUUUGUAUAUAGACCACACUUUACCAGCAUGUACGAACUAAUCUUAUAAAAGUUCACAACAUCCACAUGCCGACACCCCUUUGUAAAAGUACCAGAUUAAAAGAUUAAUUACAUACGUGCUCUGUACUUAGAACCUAAGAUUUGAAAAAGGAGCUACAAACCCGAAGGAGAUUUAAAAGCAUAUAACGUGUGUUGUGUUGUGUAUCUAAGUACAGAAGGUACGAACGACAGAACAUUGUUUGUCUACAACCCUACCUAUGAUUAAAAGAUUUACUAAACUUGAGUACAACAAAAGAUAAGAUGACAGUAACCAAGUAGUAAGACUUGGUAAGUCAACAACCUUGAGGCCGUAUAUAACCAGGACUUCAAUACGACUUCUUUCUUAUACUGCGUUCGAUACUAGGUAGGAUAAAACACGAAAUUUGCCAAACAACGUAUGAGACUGUAGACGACGUAUUGAAUUAAGACAAACGAGCCGGUAUUUUCGGAAUGAACUAAAGACUUAGAAGGUAAGUGGAAAGCAACAGUACUCACCACUUACCAGAACUCCUCAUUGGUAAAUCUAUGACAUACAAAAAAACGAGUUUGUGCUAGAGCUGUAACUAUUAUCGUCUCUCUAUUAUAUGCGGAAUAUUAGAACAUUGACAUCUUUUUUCAUAUCUAUUGGGGGUCUUCAUAGGGCAAACCUAGUGUAUUGGGGGAGUACAAAUUUUGGCUCAAGAAUUAGGGGACUUGAUAAGAUUUGGUCUGUAUAGUGGGGGACCGUGGGUGAAUUCAUCAAACCCUGCUACCAAAACGUAUACACCGCGAACCCGACCCGGGUAGCUGGCCGGUGCAGCCUGACCCGGACGACCCACGCCACAUUUACUGCGGGAACUCGUUCAAGCUGGGUCUGAGCCGGAGAAGCGGAGGGUUAAAUCGCACUCGAAAAAUUAAAAAGUCGUCACAUGAUGUCGUUUAACAACUAGUAAUAUGACAAGACAUACGUUACGAUACAAUUUCUUCCUUUGAAAACUGUUGUUUAUAAAAUACUGACAUGAUAAGACAUACCUUACCACACAAUGUUCUAUAAAAUAGUCUUCACAUGUAUAAUAACCGUAGUUUAAGUCUUUAUCUGUCGUUUAAAGGUAUCGUAACUUCUAGAAUUUAAGUGUGUUAUUCAAGGUACCUUAUGAGUCCAAGUUGGACUAUUUUCGAUGUCCAGAAACUGUACGUUUUGAGGUGUUUGCUGUGAAUUAACAGUUCCUUAAACUACAAAGUGUAGUUUAUUUUCGUGUGUGAAGAUAGACCACAAUGUGUAGUUGAUGCACUGUAACUUUUUGUUAGACCCGUAAGUGAAAAAGGGUCACUCUUCAGUAAGGUCGGACAAUAAAGAAACGUGAACGUAGACGACACUCGAACUUCUUCGGGACAACACUUACGGGUCUAACAUACACGUAGACGACACUCGAACUUCUUCGUGAACGUAGUUGAUGCAUUGUACGUCUUCAUCAACACCACAAGGAAGGUGGAAUACUUAAUCAGACACUUCUCCACUUAUCAGCCUCGGGGUACCUCGGUUUGUUUGUAAUACAAGUCCGAUGUCUAAUAUAAGUAUGAUGUCGAACUCAGACUUAAACAUAACUAUGUACUUUUACAGUACACACGGUUCUUUUCAUACAAUCGACAUGUUAGUUAAAACCACACGUAAAGAAUAAAUAAAAACUCAGCCUGCACACGUAAAGAUUAAUCUUCAUCUUCUUCUUUCUACACUGUGCCUGAAGGAUUCUAGUGUAUGUAUAUCAACUUAUCAUAUUAAUCUUAUUAUUAUUAUUUUAAGUUUUUCGAAUAAAUAAAACCGAUGUUUAAACGGCCUCACAAUAUCUACACGUAUGGUAAAGCACUUCCUUAUUGUAUUUACCACCAGUCCUGUUUGCUUUUAACUAGUAAAAAUUUCGAAGAACCUCGUAGCUAAAACAAAUUAUAACACGUUUAGUAGUGUUUAUAAUAAAGAAGUACUUUAAAACGUGUAUUGGUUUUUUUUCAUUAAAACAACCCCUCGUCCUAACGUGUAGACUACAUUCUAUUUCUAUAUUCAUGACAAUCUGUACUCUGGAUGAGCGCGUGUACAGUUAGAGUUGUACGUAGAACAACAAGGCACGUUGCGUACCCGUAGAAUGAUCACAAUAGGAUUUUAACCGAUUGAUACCGAGUAUAACAAAAGGGGUCCAUCGAGUACCGCUCACUACGCACUCGGCAGGACUAGGAAAACGAUACAAUAAUAUAAAAUCGGUACUUCCUAAAUGACGAACAGUCAAGCAUCACCAAGGCCGACAAACGACUUGAAAACAAGAACGAACACGAUAAAAAAAAUGACAAAUCUACCGAGUUAAAUGAAGGUUAAAAUGAGAACUCAAAAGGGUACGUACGUAUGAGAAUAUGGGGAGGAUGAACGAACAACCAAGAUGCGAGACGGAAACACUCCACAUUAAUAAUUUAAAACAAGUAUCAGCUCGUAACCUACUAUAACAUAAACAGUACUACAUGUACCAAGUACUUGAUACGGUUGGACGUCGAAACAACGUGAUCACUAUCAUCCUAUUACGUUCAAAACUGUUAGGUACGUAUAAAGGCGUAGUAUUAUUAGAAGAAGAUCAGAAGAAGAUCAGAAGAAGAAGAUUGAAAGAAGAAAGGGUAAAAUGCCUAAACGAAUUCUAGUGCCUUCGAACCCAACUACCUCACUAACAUAAAUCAAAAACAAAACUGCAACACUUUGAACGAUGAAUACCUACUUUGACACAUUAUAACUAUUUUGAUACAUAUACAUGCCUACUUUGAACGAUGAUAACCAUUGUACACAACC